GACGAACGCUGGCGGCGUGCCUAAUACAUGCAAGUUGAGCGCUGAAGGUUGGUACUUGUACCAACUGGAUGAGCAGCGAACGGGUGAGUAACGCGUGGGGAAUCUGCCUUUGAGCGGGGGACAACAUUUGGAAACGAAUGCUAAUACCGCAUAAAAACUUUAAACACAAGUUUUAAGUUUGAAAGAUGCAAUUGCAUCACUCAAAGAUGAUCCCGCGUUGUAUUAGCUAGUUGGUGAGGUAAAGGCUCACCAAGGCGAUGAUACAUAGCCGACCUGGGAGGGUGGUCGGCCACAUUGGGACUGGGACACGGCCCCAACGCGUACGGGAGGCAGCAGUAGGGAAUCUUGGGCGAUGGACGGAAGUCUGAGCGAGCAACGCCGCGUGAGUGAAGAAGGUUUUCGGAUCGUAAAACUCGGUUGGUAGAGAAGAACGUUGGUGAGAGUGGAAAGCUCAUCAAGUGACGGUAACUACUCAGAAAGGGACGGCUAACUACGUG
rnacentral:rRNA from 1 species